rnacentral:rRNA from 1 species
UUGCGCACCUCCGGGUUGUCCGCGUUGUAAUCUCGAGACGUGUUUUCCCGCGCGGCUCUAUGGACAAGUCCCUUGGAAUAGGGCAUCGUACAGGGUGAGAAUCCCGUACUUGCCAUGGAAGAACCGUGCUUUGCGAUACACGCUCUAAGAGUCGAGUUGUUUGGGAUUGCAGCUCACAAUGGGAGGUAGACUCCAUCUAAAGCUAAAUAUCGGGGAGAGACCGAUAGCGA